ACACAUGCAAGUCGAGGGGCAGCAUCAUCAAAGCUUGCUUUGAUGGAUGGCGACCGGCGCACGGGUGAGUAACACGUAUCCAACCUGCCGACAACACUGGGAUAGCCUUUCGAAAGAAAGAUUAAUACCGGAUGGCAUAAUUAUUCCGCAUGGGAUAAUUAUUAAAGAAUUUCGGUUGUCGAUGGGGAUGCGUUCCAUUAGGCAGUUGGCGGGGUAACGGCCCACCAAACCUACGAUGGAUAGGGGUUCUGAGAGGAAGGUCCCCCACAUUGGAACUGAGACACGGUCCAAACUCCUACGGGAGGCAGCAGUGAGGAAUAUUGGUCAAUGGACGAGAGUCUGAACCAGCCAAGUAGCGUGAAGGAUGACUGCCCUAUGGGUUGUAAACUUCUUUUAUACGGGAAUAAAGUGAGCCACGUGUGGCUUUUUGUAUGUACCGUAUGAAUAAGGAUCGGCUAACUCCGUGCCAGCAGCCGCGGUAAUACGGAGGAUCCGAGCGUUAUCCGGAUUUAUUGGGUUUAAAGGGAGCGUAGGCGGGUUGUUAAGUCAGUUGUGAAAGUUUGCGGCUCAACCGUAAAAUUGCAGUUGAUACUGGCGACCUUGAGUGCAACAGAGGUAGGCGGAAUUCGUGGUGUAGCGGUGAAAUGCUUAGAUAUCACGAAGAACUCCGAUUGCGAAGGCAGCUUACUGGAUUGUAACUGACGCUGAUGCUCGAAAGUGUGGGUAUCAAACAGGAUUAGAUACCCUGGUAGUCCACACAGUAA
rnacentral:rRNA from 1 species